AUUGGCUAGAAUAAGAAUGUUAGAAACUACUGCAUGUGUCCAAAAAAUUGCAAAGGAAGAAAUUAAUUAUACCUUUAAUUUCUGUUUCUCCUGAUGACCGGAUAAUUCCUCUUUCUUUCUCCCAUAAAGCAACCUUUGAACACAGCAUACUCUUGGACAUUUUGUAAAAUUUUAAUAUAGAUUGUAAGACAGAAUGAGGCUUACUUUUCCAUAUGCGCUGAGAGAAUAUCUUGCACCCCUGCCUGUAAAGGUAGUCCAAAAAAAUGGUGUGAAACAUCAAAUGCAUGCUCUUGAUCCUUUAAUUGCCUAAUUACAUUAUUUUUCAAUUUAAGGACAGGAGCAAAGACUCAAAACCCUUGUUGUACCCCACAGAUGCUCAGUGUGUCAUGGUAGGUGUUGCAGAGACACAGCAGUGUGUGUGACUUCUCCCAGACAUCAUGGUUGAAGAGCUGCUUCUGCUCGGCCCUUGAACCACCUCCCAUGGGAAUUUCACUGAGUGGAAAAGCACAACAUUAGACCUGCUCUUUCCAGGCUCCUUAGGUGCCAGAAGGCAGCUUUGUCUGGAGAUACAUCAGAAAGCUGCCCUGCCCUUCCAGGCCGCUGUGCAUGCUGUGAUCCAGGCUGGGAUUGCUCUGACAGGUUUCACAUCAGUGCCUGUCAUCAUGCAAAUUUAUUCUCAAUGGGAUUACUCGGAACUAUGCUGGUACUUGUUCCUGCUUGUGUAUCCAAGCUUGUCCCUCCCUGGGCUUUGCCAGCUUAGUUUCCCGGGAAAGAAGGAGCUGGAGACAUUGCAACAGACCCUGGACAAGGGAAAAAUGUUCUAAAGUUGGCCCUUGAAAAGCAUUUCUACCUGGAUCUUCAGCAUUAGUCAUCUGAGGAUAAGACACCUUCAUAUACUGGAGGUGCUAAUCUCUUCCCUCCAUGUAAUCUGGUAUAAAAGUAAAACAAAAAAGAUAAAACACUAUCCUUUACCCAAUUAAAAAAUAAAAAGUAGUCAAAUAAAAAAAAAGGCCCA
rnacentral:lncRNA from 1 species